CAACACAAUGUCCUUACCAUCAACUAAUUUGUCAACAACUGCUAGUUGGUUAGCAAGUACUUUUACCUUGUUAACAUGAGCCAUGAGGUCAUUUCUUUCUUCCAUCUUUACUGUCAAGAACUUCCUCCUUGUCCAAAGGAUGUUGGCAAGGUUUCUACUCUCAUAAAUGUUACAAAGAGUCUUCGAUGCUUCCAUUGGUCCAUUACAAACUAUAACAUGUGAAAAGUUGGCAUCAUCAAGGUUUAUUGCAAUCAUCCCAAAAGCCUUCCUUUUAUGACGUUUGUACUCCUUCUUCACCUUGAUAUCACCAUUGUCACUUGGAGGGUCUUCACUUUCAUCAAUAAUGUCUCAAAGAUCCAAUGAAGCCAACAAAAGCUCCAUU
rnacentral:lncRNA from 1 species